AGGUUGGUAUCGCAGUUGUUUUCCAGCUGUCACUGGAGCCCAGUACCGGAGGUAUGGCUGCUGUAAAUCCUUGGACGUCCUGGGGUAUCUUUACGAACAAGCCCUGGAGGAUGGCAGCUGUUGAUCCAUGGACCUCUUGGGCUCUGUGUCCUCAGGAUUCUGCCUGCUGCAUAGAGGAGGUCCCUGACGAGGGGAAGAGGGCCACCAGGAUCCCACCAGACCAGGUCCAGGUGAGAUGGGUCUUCUGCCCUUUUUUUUUUUUUUGCUUUUUUAUGAAAAACUGCCCAAUGCCUGAAGGUGUCAGGAUUUUCCAUAGCCAUCCU